rnacentral:antisense_RNA from 1 species
UUUGAUCGAGCCGAGGUGGAGCGGCUGGUCACCGGACCGCUGUUGGCCGUAGGUGGCGAGCAGGGCUUGGGCCUC